CCUACGGGUGGCAGCAGUGGGGAAUAUUGGACAAUGGGGGCAACCCUGAUCCAGCCAUGCCGCGUGUGUGAAGAAGGCCCUCGGGUUGUAAAGCACUUUCAGUGAAGAAGAACGCCUGGUGGUUAAUACCCAUCAGGAAAGACAUCACUCACAGAAGAAGCACCGGCUAACUCCGUGCCAGCAGCCGCGGUAAUACGGAGGGUGCGAGCGUUAAUCGGAAUUACUGGGCGUAAAGCGCGCGUAGGUGGCUUGAUAAGCCGGUUGUGAAAGCCCCGGGCUCAACCUGGGAACGGCAUCCGGAACUGUCAAGCUAGAGUGCAGGAGAGGAAGGUAGAAUUCCCGGUGUAGCGGUGAAAUGCGUAGAGAUCGGGAGGAAUACCAGUGGCGAAGGCGGCCUUCUGGACUGACACUGACACUGAGGUGCGAAAGCGUGGGUAGCAAACAGGAUUAGAUACCCGGGUAGUC
rnacentral:rRNA from 1 species